UACGUAGGGUGCGAGCGUUGUCCGGAAUUACUGGGCGUAAAGAGCUCGUAGGUGGUUUGUCGCGUUGUUCGUGAAAACUCACAACUCAAUUGUGGGCGUGCGGGCGAUACGGGCAGACUGGAGUACUGCAGGGGAGACUGGAAUUCCUGGUGUAGCGGUGGAAUGCGCAGAUAUCAGGAGGAACACCGGUGGCGAAGGCGGGUCUCGUGGGCAGUGAACUGACGCUGGAGGAGCGAAAGCGUGGGGAGCGAACAG
rnacentral:rRNA from 1 species